GUGGGGAAUUUUGGACAAUGGGCGCAAGCCUGAUCCAGCAAUGCCGCGUGCAGGAAGAAGGCCUUCGGGUUGUAAACUGCUUUUGUACGGAACGAAACGGCUCUGGUUAAUACCCGGGGCUAAUGACGGUACCGUAAGAAUAAGCACCGGCUAACUACGUGCCAGCAGCCGCGGUAAUACGUAGGGUGCAAGCGUUAAUCGGAAUUACUGGGCGUAAAGCGUGCGCAGGCGGUUUUGUAAGACAGGCGUGAAAUCCCCGGGCUCAACCUGGGAAUGGCGCUUGUGACUGCAAAGCUGGAGUGCGGCAGAGGGGGAUGGAAUUCCGCGUGUAGCAGUGAAAUGCGUAGAUAUGCGGAGGAACACCGAUGGCGAAGGCAAUCCCCUGGGCUUGCACUGACGCUCAUGCACGAAAGCGUGGGGAGCAAACAGGAUUAGAAACCCUUGUAGUCC
rnacentral:rRNA from 1 species